CUAUAUUACAUAUAUUAAUUGCAUCACAAGACAAACAGCAUCAUGCCUUUGUCUACAUGUCGGUUUAUAGUUGCUCCAUCUUUUCUGUUAUAAACAACUUUAGUCCUAGUGUAAUGCUUCUAGAAAAAUGAAGUUGCUUCCUUGUUGGCUUAAAUGAAAGUUAUUCAUAUGUAUAAGAUGUUGCAUGUCUCGUAAGUAG